GUGUCCCUGUCAGCGCGUGGGUCAGCUAUGUGUCUGUGUUUCAGUAUGUGUCCGUGUGUGUGUGUGUGUGUGUGUGUGUGUGUGCAGAGAGGCCUCCGCUCACAAUGUUCUCAGCUGUAGGUACCUUGCCUCACCCGGUACAGCGGCUGGAUAACUGAGAGGUGUGGCUCAUAAUGCUCAUUUCAACCAAGAGGUUUGGGAGCUCACUGGGUUGGCGUCACCCAAUCUUUGGCACUGGGUCACCUGCCCAGGCACAGGGCGGCAGGAAGGCUGAGGCAAGAGGACCUGGAAUGUCUGUCCCCAUGGGUGAGCAGAGCAAAAGAUCCCCUUCGUGAAGGGGCGUUGUGGAUUCUCGGGCACCGCCGUGAACACUUGCUCGUGGUCCCUGUGCCCUGGCAGGAUCCUUGGGCCCAGCACAGCGUCUGGCAGGUGCUCAAUCAAUGUUUGUUGAGUGAAUGAAUGAACGGAAGCAUUUAAAUGUGGUGUUUUCAGUGUUUCCAGUGUCCGCGAGGAAGCUGGAGCGCGCAGCGACUUCCCAGGGCCAGCAGUUUUACUCACUCGUUCCACAAAUAUGCACAAGCCCCCGUUGCACAUCAGCCACUGUGCUAAGUACCAGAGGAAAAAAAAUGGGUGACGAGAAUCCCCACCGCGACGACCCGAGGGAGCUCCCAGGCCAGUUGCCAGAUACCUUGACAACCAGGGAGGUGAAAAAUGGUAUCAUCAGCCAGGAGCCAGACCUUGGGGAGAUAGAGACCCAGAGAGGUGAAGAGAGGCACCUGAAAGGACAAUGCCCGCUCAGUUUGGAAACAUGCCCAUCGCAAAUGGAUCGGAUGCUCACAGUGGGGAAAAAAUAAAAUCAGAUAAUGGCUA